UGGGGAAUAUUGGACAAUGGGCGGAAGCCUGAUCCAGCAACGCCGCGUGAGGGAUGACGGCCUUCGGGUUGUAAACCUCUUUCAGUACCGACGAAGCGGAAGUGACGGUAGGUACAGAAGAAGCACCGGCCAACUACGUGCCAGCAGCCGCGGUAAUACGUAGGGUGCGAGCGUUGUCCGGAAUUAUUGGGCGUAAAGGGCUCGUAGGCGGUUUGUCGCGUCGGGAGUGAAAACACUGGGCUUAACUCAGUGCUUGCUUCCGAUACGGGCAGACUAGAGGCAUGCAGGGGAGAACGGAAUUCCUGGUGUAGCGGUGAAAUGCGCAGAUAUCAGGAGGAACACCGGUGGCGAAGGCGGUUCUCUGGGCAUGUCCUGACGCUGAGGAGCGAAAGUGUGGGGAGCGAACAGGAUUAGAUACCCUGGUAGGUCCACACCGUAAAACGUUGGGCGCUAGGUGUGGGGGCCUAUUCCAUGGGUUCCGUGCCGCAGCUAACGCAUUAAGCGCCCCGCCUGGGGAGUACGGCCGCAAGGCUAAAACUCAAAGGAAUUGACGGGGUCAUAGCUGUUUCCU
rnacentral:rRNA from 1 species